AUUGAACGCUGGCGGCAGGCCUAACACAUGCAAGUCGAGCGUGCGUCGGACGGGUGUGUAAUGUCCGGGAAACUGCCUGAUGUAGGGGGAUAACUACUGGAAACGGUGGCUAAUACCGCAUACCAUCAGAUGUUCCCAGAUGGGAUUAGCUGGUAGGGGGGGUAACGGCUCACCUAGGCGACGAUCCCUAGCUGGUCUGAGAGGAUGACCAGCCAAACGGGAACUGAGACACGGGCCAGACUCCUACGGGAGGCAGCAGUGGGGAAUAUUGCACAAUGGGCGCAAGCCUGAUGCAGCCAUGCCGCGUGUGUGAAGAAGGCCUUCGGGUUGUAAAGCACUUUCAGCGGGGAGGCGUUACCCGCAGAAGAAGCACCGGCUAACUCCGUGCCAGCAGCCGCGGUAAUAC
rnacentral:rRNA from 1 species